rnacentral:rRNA from 1 species
CAGUCGCCACGGUAAUACGAAGGGUGCAAGCGUUACUCGGAAUUACUGGGCGUAAAGCGUGCGUAGGUGGUGGUUUAAGUCCGUUGUGAAAGCCCUUGGCUCAACCUGGGAAUUGCAGUGGAUACUGGGUCACUAGAGAGUGGUAGAGGAUAGUGGAAUUUCCGGUGUAGCAGUGAAAUGCGUAGAGAUCGGAAGGAACAUCUGUGGCGAAGGCGACUAUCUGGGCCAACACUGACACUGAGGCACGAAAGCGUGGGGAGCAAACAGGAUUAGAUACCCCCGUAGUCCCUGUCUCUUAUAC